CGAGAAAAACUUUAGCAAUGUGCGAAAAGCACGACAAGGUUAAUCCGAGUGGUUUCUGCUAAAGGAACCUUUUGCCAGUCCUAGAAACACUGGUGAAUAAGGGGUGGGCAAGUUCUGGUGUCAGCCGCCGCGGUAAAACCAGCACCUCAAGUGGUCAGGAUGAUUAUUGGGCCUAAAGCAUCCGUAGCCUGCUUUGUUAGUUUUCUGACUAAAUCCAUUCGCUUAACGAAGUGGGCUGCCGGGAAUACUGACAAAGCGUAGGGAGUGGGAGAGGUAGACGGUACUCGGUAGGAAGGGGUAAAAUCCUUGAUCUAUUGGUGACCACCUGUGGCG
rnacentral:rRNA from 2 species